CCUACGGGAGGCAGCAGUGGGGAAUAUUGGGCAAUGGGCGCAAGCCUGACCCAGCAACGCCGCGUGAAGGAAGAAGGCUUUCGGGUUGUAAACUUCUUUUAUGAGGGACGAAAGAAAUGACGGUACCUCAUGAAUAAGCCACGGCCAACUACGGACCAGCAGCCGCGGUAAUACGUAGGUGGCAAGCGUUAUCCGGCUUUACCGGGUGUAAAGGGCGUGUAGGCGGGACUGCAAGUCAGAUGUGAAAAUUAUGGGCUCAACCCAUAACGUGCAUUUGAAACUGUAGUACUUGAGUGAUGGAGAGGCAGGCGGAAUGCCGGGUGUAGCGGUGAAAUGCGUAGAUAGUAGGAGGAACACCAGUGGCGAAGGCGGCCGGCUGGACGACAACUGACGGUGAGGCGCGAAAGCGUGGGGAGCAAACAGGAUUAGAUACCCCUGUAGUC
rnacentral:rRNA from 1 species